rnacentral:misc_RNA from 1 species
AACGGAGGCUAACCUCGUCAUAGACUCUUAUUACUUUGACCAUAUUUUUAUCUUCCAUCUCUAUUUUGCCAAUUUAUUUAUACAACAUAAAAUAAUAUAUAUCUUUGUUUAAUGCAUGUCAAUAUAUAUAUUUUAUUUUUUAUGUUAUUUAAACAACACAUUCAAAAACACCAAUAUUUAAAAAACAUAAAAAUAAAAUCAAAGUUUAAAGUAUAAAAAUAAAAACCCUGGCAAUAACCUACUCUCCCGCGAACUCGCAGUACCAUCAGCGAAUAAGAGCUCUAAUGGUACUGCGAGUUCCGGGAGAGUAGUUAUUGCCAGGGUUUUUAUUUUUAUACUUUAAACUUUGAUUUUAUUUUUAUGUUUUUUAAAUAUUGGUGUUUUUGAAUGUGUUGUUUAAAUAACAUAAAAAAUAAAAUAUAUAUAUUGACAUGCAUUAAAAAAUAUUUUUAUUAUUUUAUGUUGUAUAAAUAAAUUGGCAAAUAUAAAUGGGAGGAUAAAAAUAUGGCCCCCCCUAAUAAAAUUCAUGGUGAAUGCUAGGAGCUUUAAGGCGAAAAAGAGA